rnacentral:rRNA from 1 species
CGCGUAGGCGGGUUUGUAAGUCAGAGGUGAAAUCCUGCAGCUUAACUGCAGAACUGCCUUUGAUACUGCAGAUCUUGAGUUUGGAAGAGAGAGACGGAAUUCCAGGUGUAUUGGUGAAAUACGUAGAUAUCUGGAAGAACACCAGUGGCGAAGGCGGUCUCUUGGUCCAUAACUGACGCUGAGGCGCGAAAGCGUGGGGAGCAAACAGGAUUAGAUACCCUGGUAGUCC